rnacentral:rRNA from 1 species
CCUACGGGAGGCAGCAGUGAGGAAUAUUGGUCAAUGGACGCAAGUCUGAACCAGCCAUGCAGCGUGCAGGAAGACGGCUCUAUGAGUUGUAAACUGCUUUUGUACGAGGGUAAACGCAGAUACGCGUAUCUGUCUGCAAGUAUCGUACGAAUAAGGAUCGGCUAAUUCCGUGCCAGCAGCCGCGGUAAUACGGAGGAUUCAAGCGUUAUCCGGAUUUAUUGGGUUUAAAGGGUGCGUAGGCGGUCGGAUAAGUUAGUGGUGAAAUCCCGAGGCUCAACUUCGGAAUUGCCGCGGAUACUGUUCGGCUAGAGAGUAGUGGCGGUAGGCGGAAUGUAUGGUGUAGCGGUGAAAUGCUUAGAGAUCAUACAGAACACCGAUUGCGAAGGCAGCUUACCAAGCUACUUCUGACGUUGAGGCACGAAAGCGUGGGGAGCAAACAGGAUUAGAUACCCGGGUAGUC